UUCAAAUUUAUUUUUACUCCAAAAGAAGUACCAGUUCCUUGUAAAUGAUAUAACCAAUCCUAAAGGACCCAGAAAAGAACAUUGAAGUCUGCCUCCACUUUUUGUCAACUCACUGGAGGUGACAGAGUCCUCAUUUUUCUAGGAAGAGGUCAAGACUUUCCUUUGUGCAUUGCAAGUGUUUACAAUCAACUCCCAGGAAAAUACUCUUCCCUGAUUUACUGAAGAAGUGAAGUUCAAAAA